rnacentral:tRNA from 1 species
GUAGAUGUAGCUCAGCUGGUAGAGCACCAGAUUGUGGCUCUGGUGGCCGUGGGUUCGAUCCCCACCAUCUACCCCA